GUCAGCACGCCGCAGAGCGCUCUCUUUCUCGUUUCAGCGACUUCUGAUGGCCGUGUUUUAAUUGAAAGGCUUGAUAUUAGAUUAAAUAAAAAAAAAAGAAAAUUCAAUAAAUAAAUGGAAAACGCAGAUUCUGAUGAACCAGACAAGAAGAGGCCUCACUUGACUUCCCUGCUCUCUCCUUCCAUGGCUCGCAACUCCACUUCUCCUCCCACCAACAAAACUGUUGAUGUGGCAGUUCUCCAGGAGCAGAAUCAAAAGCUUGUUCAGCAAUUAGACAUUCAGAAGCAUGAAUUACAUGAUCUUGAAGCUAAGAUUCAAGAAUUAACAGACAAACAAACUUCAUAUAAUGACGUGCUGAUCCUGGUGAAUCAACUAUGGAAUCAGUUGGUUGAUGAUUUGGUUUUGCUUGGAGUCCUAGCUGGGGGAGGUCAAGAUGGUUUGGAAACCUUGAACCAUUCCGGCUAUUCUGGGGGUUCAAUUCCAUCAUGCCCAGCAGAGGAGAUGUUUCUUUGUCGACUGCUAGGGACAGAUUCUAUUCAAAGCGGUGGAAAUAAUGGAAUUGUUGGAUAUGUUGAAGAAGCCCUUUCUUCACGUCACUCAUCUACUAUGAAGUUGAUGAAAAUUUUGGAAGAUACUAUUGAUGCUCAGAGGGUGAAAACUGAGAGCAUAGCUCAGGCCUUGCUUGGAAACCUAUCCACAGAAGAUAGCAUAAUUCAAUUCACAAGAAUUGAUGAUAUGAUGAAAGAGGAAGCUAAGAAUCUACAUGAGGUGAUUGAUGUUCUCCACUUGAAGCAUAAAGAAUAUACUGAUGAGAUACAGACUUCUAUUAGCAGCAAUUCAGUGGAUCAGUCUGAGAUUAAACGCCUUGCAGGUGAGCUAGAAGAGAUCAUGGCUGAACUUGAAGAAAGCAGAAGAAAGUUGGUCAAUCUGAAAAUGCAAAAGGAUGCAGCAGCUAGGGUGCAUACUCCAGCAUCAAGUGCAGUAAAUGGAAGCUUGACACCUGAAAAGCCUGCAGAGAAGUCUAAAGGUUUGAGAGAGUUGAAGGAUUCUAUUGAGGAAGCAAAGAUACUAGUAGCUGACCGUCUUUCUGAGUUUCAAGAAGCCCAAGAUGAAAAUCACAUCUUAACAAAAGAAUCGGAAAAACUUCAGGAUGAAUUGAAGGAUGACAAGUAUAUACAUUCAUCUCGUCUGUACAAUUUGGUAAAUGAUCAGCUCCAACAUUGGCAUGCUGAGGCAGAGCGAUACAAAUCAUUGACAGAUUCUUUGCAGGCCGACAGGUCUCUUGUUGUAAGAAGGGAGAAGGAAGUGAAUGCAAAAGUAGAGUCAGCAGAUUCUGCAAGAAAUAUUGUUGGUACUGCUGAACCUAGAAUUGAAGAGCUUGAACUUCAGCUGCAGAAGUGUAUUCUUGAGAAAAAUGACCUUGAGAUUAAAAUGGAAGAAACUAUGCAGGAUUCAGGGAGAAAAGAUAUUAAAGCAGAGUUCCGUGUAAUGGCUGCCGCUUUGUCUAAGGAAAUGGGCAUGAUGGAAUCACAGUUGAAUCGGUGGAAGCAGACUGCUCAUGAAGCACUUUCUUUGCGUGAAGAAUCCCAAUCACUAAGAGUCUUGUUAAGUGAAAAGAAAAAUGAACAAGAAUGCUUAACAAGCAAAUGUGCUGAACAGAUGUCACAAAUCAAAUCUCUGAAGACUCUGAUUGAGAAGUUGCAGAAGGAAAAACUUGAACUGCAAAUAAUCUUGGACAUGUAUGGACAGGAAGGUUAUGAUACCAGAGAUAUGCUAGAAAUAAAAGAAUCUGAACGUAAGGCACACUCACAAGCUGAAGUCCUCAGGAGUGCUCUGGAUGAACAUAGUCUGGAGUUGAGAGUCAAAGCUGCUAAUGAGGCUGAGGCUGCCUGCCAACAAAGGCUUUCUACUGCUGAAGCUGAGAUAGUGGAACUAAGGGCCAAACUUGAUACUUCUGAACGAGAUGUAUGGGAGCUCACAGAAGCUAUUAAAAGUAAAGAUAGGGAGGCUGAGGCAUAUAUCUCUGAAAUUGAGACCAUUGGUCAAGCAUAUGAAGAUAUGCAAACACAAAACCAACAUCUUCUGCAACAAGUGACAGAGAGGGAUGAUUACAAUAUCAAGCUUGUUUCCGAGAGUGUGAAGACAAAGCAGGCACAGAGCGCUCUACUUUCUGAGAAGCAAGCCCUAUCAAAGCAACUUCAACAAGUUAAUGCAUCAGUGGAAUAUUUAAAAAUGAGAAUUGCCCAGAGUGAGGACCAGAUGAAAGUUUGUCUGGCAGAGGCAAUUAGAUCUACCGAAGAAGACAGACAUGUUGCUGUCAACCUUGAAACUGCACGGUGGGAAUUGAUGGACGCUGAGAAGGAGUUGAAAUGGCUAAAAUAUGCUGGUUCUUCUUCUGAGAAGGAGUAUGAGCAAAUCCAGAAGAAGAUAGAUGAAGUUCAAACUGAAUUACACAAUGAAAGGUGGGUUUCUAUGUUUGUGAUGAUUAGAUAUGAAAUUUUGAUUUUAUGCCGUGCAUUAGAGUCAUUUCUAUCGCAUUUUGUAGCAUUGAUGUAAAAGUAGGGGCAAAUAUAUCCUGCAUGACAUAAGAAGUUUGGGUUCAAUGAUACCUUUCUCUUCUUUUACCCUCCUUUCCAUAUCAUAUACAUCACAUAAGUUCUCAAUUCAACUAAAAAACUCAAUGUCUAUAGAGCAACAGUCUUAUCAAGAGAAACAAAAAUAGAAAAUUGUUAAAUAGUCCAACCAAAAUAUAAAAACACUUUGUUAAAUUUCGUACUACUAAUACUAAAAUAGUUGUGAAGAGGUUCUUCCCUCCAAGAUGGGCUUGGGUUAUGGACAGGACAUGGGCCAUAAGCCUAAGCAGAUGAAUAUAAACUACAUUAGUCAUCUAGUUGAUGUUUAGAUGAGACAUUGUUGUAGUAACUAAUAAUCCAUCUAGUUCUGGUGAUUUAAUGGAUGGCUGUUUCCUGCCCUUCUUUAUGGCUUUGUGAUUCCAUGUGUAGCUGGGUUACUAGCAUACCACCUACAUAGGCAGCUUCACCACAUAGUCUUCAGUAAUAGCGAGUGACACUUGAUUAAAGAAUGUUACAUUUAGGAGGAGUGAUCUAAUCCCCUUGGGGGUUUAGAAGUUUGUGGUAGGUGUUAUAAAUGUGAGGGAUAUGAAAUGAAGCUAUAUAGUCUAGUAAAGGCUUAAACCAUAUUAUGCACUUGUUUAGUGCUCUGUGAACUAAAUCUUAUGUCUGAUUAAUGGCUUUUGUUAAGCCAGAAGUGAAAGGAAGAAACUCGA
rnacentral:misc_RNA from 1 species